CUGUCACUGUGCCCUAAGCAACACAACCUCCGCACAUGAUGCUCACAAUUGCAUGACCAGCACUGCGGCGCCUUUUCUUCCUUGCCAUCUCUUUCCUCCUUGGAGGUUGAAGAACAACCUUGAUUGCAGUAUCAAAAAUAGCUUUGACAUUCUGUUGAGUCUUGGAGCUACAUUCAAUAUAUGCUGCUGCACCAAUCUGUUUCCUCAGCUCCUCUCCUUGUGCAGAUGUUAUAACAUUAGAACUCAUAUGAUCAGCUAGAUAUCCCCUGUCUUCACGAAGAUCUAAUUUGGUACCAACAAGAACUAUUGGAACAUUUGGUGCAAACCGACGAAGUUCAGGCAUCCACUUCUUAAG
rnacentral:misc_RNA from 1 species